GCGAGAAGUGAGGACACCAAAAGAUAAUAAGGAUGCUAAUCCCGCUGUGUAUCUUUUCAAUCUGACAGUCCCAGGAAAGGAGUCAAGUAGCAGAAAAGAGGCUCUUGUGCCUUUAUUUGAGCAAAUAUCAGCCGGAACCAUCUUAAGAGUGAUAAGUGCCGCUAACAAAGUUUUUUGCUGGACACUUGAACAUCUACCUUCAUUCUUGAGAAGAUGGACAUUGACAUUGAAGGAGUCCAGCAGCAUUGUAAAUGGCACAGUAAAAAUAUCAACACGAUGGGAGUGUUUCCAACAGCAGCAGAGAAAUGGAAAAUUUUGAAGAUGCUGCCCAGAUAACUCAAUGUGGAAUGAAAGGAAACUAACAGCCAUUGAACACUUUUUAUUAACUGUGCUUUUUUUGUUGAAAGUGAAUAAAUUAAUGAACAC